rnacentral:rRNA from 1 species
ACCAGACUCCUACGGGAGGCAGCAGUGGGGAAUAUUGGACAAUGGGCGCAAGCCUGACCCAGCAACGCCGCGUGAAGGAAGAGGGCUUUCGGGUUGUAAACUUCUUUUGUCAGGGACGAAGCAAGUGACGGUACCUGACUAAGAAGCCCCGGCUAACUACGUGCCAGCAGCCGCGGUAAUACGUAGGGGGCAAGCGUUAUCCGGAUUUACUGGGUGUAAAGGGAGCGUAGACGGCAUGGCAAGCCAGAUGUGAAAUACCGGGGCUCAACCCCGGGACUGCAUUUGGAACUGUUAAGCUGGAGUGUCGGAGAGGCAGGCGGAAUUCCUAGUGUAGCGGUGAAAUGCGUAGAUAUUAGGAGGAACACCGGCGGCGAAGGCGGCCUGCUGGACCGCGACUGACGUUGAGGCUCGAAAGCGUGGGGAGCAAACAGGAUUAGAUACCCGAGUAU